AGUCUCACCAUAUUGCCCAGGCUGGUUUCAAACUCUUGGACUUAAGCAAUCCUCCCACCUCGCCUCCCAAAGUGCCAGGAACACACUUAUGUCUCUUACAGCCAUGGAAACAAUGAACUGCUAACAUGUGUUUUUAGAAAGAAUGUGGAAGUAUGGGAACCUCUUCCUUUAUGUGGUAAUUGAGGACUAGGCCAGGCACAGUGGCUCACACCUGUAAUCCCAGCACUUUGGGAGGCUGAGAAAGGCAGAUCACUUGAGGUCAUGAGUUCGAGACCAGCCUGGCCAACGUGGUGAAACCCAGUCUCAACUAAAAAUACAAAAAAUUAGCUGGGC
rnacentral:lncRNA from 10 species